CUAAUUGUUUUGUUCUAAUAUUUAAAGUCUGUACUUUGUAACACUUUCUAAGACACCGUCUGUGUGUCUCUACCACUGUUCCCUCUAAGCUGCAUGCAUGCGCAAUUGCGCACUCCUGAUACAGUCUUAGCGCUCAGAAAAUCUGCGCUGCGCACAAAAAAAAAUCCAACCUAAACUGAAAAUAAAAUAAAUUCAUAACAAUUCAUUCUGUGCUAUUUUUCAAUGUGAGUCAGUGAGUGACCGGUGACUGGCUGCUCCAGCCAAUGAUGUGAUUCACAUAGGGAUUUACGCAGCUAAUCAAUGUCAUUUACAGACGUGCUUAUGUGCAGCCACCUUAGCCAGCUGCUACAGUGCGCUAGCGUAUCUAGUCUUCUAUCCACCUUAUUUUGCAGCUUCGCCAGGGCGGCGCCAUAUUACAGCAUUUUGUCCUGUGAUUUCCGCUUCAGACCGGAAGUGUAGUUGUCAACAAAAGGAAUGAGCAGGGUAAGCUAACCAGAUAGCGAUUUUAUUUCAUCAAGAUGUCGAGGCUGCCAUAAUAACUGGACCAAGAGGAGAGAGUUUUUGAAACAAACCUGUUUUGAACAUCAUGUGGAGAGAUCGGAGUGUUGUGGGGCACCAUAUAAACUACAUCCUCCGCCCAAAGAUGAGGAGCACAUACGGCUGUGGCUGAAAGCGCUAAACCUUAAGUGCCCACCGAAGCGCCCUUAUGUAGGUUCGUUUCAUUUUGUGGACAGAGAGCCGACAGAAGAGCACCCUUACCCCGAGAAAUGGCUUGGCUAUGAUGCUCCAGUAAAGAAGCCACGGCGGGCUUUGAAGAGGUUGUCAGAUAGGGAUAUGACAGUCAGCAUCAAGGAUGCAGAGGAGAAGGAUGACAACAUUCACAUGCCUCCACGUUGUGAUGUGGAAACUCAGUGGGAGGAUCUGUCUGUCUCUGAACACAGCUAUGCUGCAAGAUCAUCACUCCAUCUGAAGCCCCUUUCAUCUGACAUCUUUACAAUAUAAUUGCAAUAAACCUAAAAAUUUCUGA